UUAGGCCCUGUGAGUGGAGGAUGCUCGUGUUAUUAAUAGUAAAUCAUCAGUUUCUGGAGGGAUGUUCAGUGAUGUUUUAAUUCAACUCCCUCUUUCCAGGAGGGAAAACAGGCCCGAGAAAAUUUGCCAGGGUCAUCCAAAGAGUCCUUUCCCCCAGUGUCUUUAGGGGGCGCUGGGUGUUAGGACGAAUGGCCGGGCCUGUGUGACUCUGCCUUUGGCUGGUGCUCCAGCUGUGCUCCUGUGUGUGUGUUGGGGUGGGGUUGUGAGACUCUACGGCCUUUGUCAGCAGCUCUUGCUCUGUCCUUCCUGUUUGGCCACAGCUC
rnacentral:lncRNA from 1 species